GCUGGGCAUGGUGGUGCAUGCCUGUAAUCCCACCUACUCGGGAGGCUGAGGCAGAAGAAUCACUUGAACUUGGGAGGCAGAGGUUGCAGUGAGCUGAGAUCACACCACUGCACUCCAGCCUGGGUGACAGAGUGAGACUCUGUCUCAA
ensembl:misc_RNA Metazoa_SRP Metazoan signal recognition particle RNA